UAAGUGGAGAGUUUGAUCCUGGCUCAGAAUGAACGCUGGCGGCGUGCUUAACACAUGCAAGUCGAGCGAGGCCAGGGGGGCAACUCCCUGAGUCGAGCGGCGGACGGGUGAGUAACACGUGGGUAACCUACCCGGAAGUGGGGAAUACCUCGGGGAAACUCGAGCUAAUACCGCAUGACAUCUUCGGGACGAGAGUCCUGACGAUCAAAGCGGGGUCGCAAGAUCUCGCGCUACCGGAUGGGCCCGCGCCCGAUUAGCUAGUUGGUGAGGUAAUGGCUCACCAAGGCUUCGAUCGGUAACCGGCCUGAGAGGGCGAUCGGUCACACCGGAACUGAGACACGGUCCGGACUCCUACGGGAGGCAGCAGUGGGGAAUCUUGCGCAAUGGGCGAAAGCCUGACGCAGCAACGCCGCGUGGAGGAUGAAGGCCCUUGGGUUGUAAACUCCUGUCGGCUGGGAAGAAAUCGUUUGUGGCUAAUACCCGCAGACGUUGACUGUACCAGCAAAGGAAGCCCCGGCUAACUCUGUGCCAGCAGCCGCGGUAAUACAGAGGGGGCCAGCGUUAUUCGGAAUUAUUGGGCGUAAAGGGCGCGUAGGCGGCCAUGCGUGUCUUUCGUGAAAUCCCUCGGCUCAACCGAGGACGUGCGGAAGAAACUGCAAGGCUCGAGUCCGGAAGAGGGGGGCGGAAUUCCCAGUGUAGCGGUGAAAUGCGUAGAUAUUGGGAGGAACACCAGUGGCGAAGGCGGUCCCCUGGGCCGGAACUGACGCUGAGGCGCGAAAGCGUGGGUAGCAAACGGGAUUAGAUACCCCGGUAGUCCACGCCGUAAACGAUGGGCACUUGGUGUCGCGGGUAUCGACCCCUGCGGUGCCGAAGCUAACGCAUUAAGUGCCCCGCCUGGGGAGUACGGUCGCAAGGC
rnacentral:rRNA from 1 species